GCGAAGGGGCUCAAUGGGUGAUCAGGUCUGUGGGUUAGUGGGUCAGUGGUUUAGUGGAUUAGCUGUACGGUAGUUUGAUGGUGCAGUGGUUUAGAGGUGCAGUGCAAUUAGCAAGCGGAAUCGCAACAUGAGUUAAUCUCCUAGUAUAUCGGCAAGAAACUAAAUCAGUGAAAGCGCUUCCAGCACCGUGUGCAGAGGUUUCAACUUAUUUUCUUGAAUUGGAUUUUUUCCUCCCAUUCAAACGCUUCAUUCUAACUUCCUAAUUGACAAGAGACAGGGUCACAGUGGAAGCUACUUUCAGCGUAUUAAUCAUCGUCAUAAAACGAGCGUAGUGAAAGCUGUUUUCACUUCAUUUUUUACUUGUGUCCACCAAGUCCUACCAUCGAGGAAAAUCUGUGAUUUAAAGGUACCAUUAUAGUUGAAUCACGGUGAUUUGCAUUAAUUUGAAUGAUGAAGAAACUCGCCUUAUUGGUCUACCAAAAAUGCUCCCUUUACAGCAAAAAAAGCAGCAAAUUCUGAAUGCCAACCGCUGCAAUCCUUUUUCAGUGAUUUGUGGAACGAAAAUACUUAAAACCACGGAGUGCAUCAAUGCGGGUGAUGAUGUCACUCAUCGCGCUUUCUAAAAGGCUAUGUGCCCCUUCAUGAUGUUGUGCUGAAUA